UACGUAGGGGGCAAGCGUUGUCCGGAAUCAUUGGGCGUAAAGAGCGUGUAGGCGGCUCGAUAAGUCUGCUGUGAAAGUCCAGGGCUCAACCCUGGAAGGCCGGUGGAAACUGUCGGGCUAGAGUCCGGAAGAGGCGAGUGGAAUUCCCGGUGUAGCGGUGAAAUGCGCAGAUAUCGGGAGGAACACCAAUGGCGAAGGCAGCUCGCUGGGACGGUACUGACGCCGAGACGCGAAAGCGUGGGGAGCAAACAGG
rnacentral:rRNA from 1 species